CAAAUCUCCAAAAAAAAUUGAAAAGUACAAUGUUGCAGGCGACAAUCUUUGUAAAUAGCAAGAAGAUAUAUUCCCCCACUAUUUCCAUUACAAACCACUUGUUGAAUUUGCACAAUCCUCCAUUACAAACAUAGUCACUAUGGGAGGCUGAGGCUAUUGAUUUAUUGGACUAAAUAAACUUUUUCUGUAAAACGGUCACUGUUAAUAAACUUUUUCUGUAAAGAGGACACUAUUAAUAUCAAUGACAUAAUAUAAAUAAAGCACUGGUGUUUAUUGAACUACAACAGCCAAGAUAGAUAAAGAAAGUGUUCAACUCAGACAUCUUGUAACAUCUCAGAUGCACCAACUCUAUCACGCGGAAUCAGGCGCAGAUC
rnacentral:lncRNA from 1 species